GGGGGUUAUUCUUGUGUUUUGGGCGCGGUGCUCGGUGUUCGCUGCGAACUAUUUGUUCCAUCGUUGGCAUAAAAAAGACAUGUUAGUGUAGGUGCCAUGAAAAUUUAGGCGUUGCCUGCACGCUGGCACGAUAUUCCCUGUUUAUUUUAUUAUUUUUGUUGCUCUCUCUUGUGAUAUCGAGGUUUAGGUUUUGAAAACAAGCUGUUUCGCUUAGAGGGACGCUGAUGUGGUUCUUUAGGGCUUAGUUAGGUGGCUGCACGCUGAAUGAAAACGUUCUCCGCCUCAGUGGCCACCUCCACCCGCGUGUCUUUCUCCAGGGCGCCAUCGCAGCGUGUCCAACGUGCCCGGCGUGGCGUUCGUGGAGGCCACGCCGACAUCACAUUUUGGCGACGGAGAUGGACCAUCGAGUACGUACUAGGAUGCCAUCACAAUUCAUCAGGAACCGCUUUGCUGCCGGUGACGCCGGAUUCUGAUUCUGACCGGACGCUACUAGCGUUCACAUCAGCGCCAUGUCCUGCUGAGCAACGCGUUCCGUCGCCAUUCCGACCAAAUUUUGGCGACGAGGAAUCCUUUUGCAUCGUGCCUACAUCGGGGCUCCCAGAAAUGUGCACCGUGUGACGUCGAUCUCAACAGAGCACCGGAGAAGCAUCUACACAGAAGUAUUCGCCGCAUAAACUGCAGGGAAGCAGAACUUCGAAGGACUGCGUACUGAUCAACGCCGAGCUCAGGUGACCGUCAUGCAAGAGCUUCUGCCCAGGAGCAUCCGCCACACAAACUACAGGACCGGUCAUGAAGACCACAACAGAAAAAAGAAACCACGGCCCAACUUGAGACAGCGACGCCGACCCUCCGGACCCCAGAAGUACCAGGAUCCAAGAAGCCCAGGAGACGUUGAGUGACAAAAACCAGGAGUCCUCCAUACUGGGUUGCAUCUACCACUUCUGCAAUACCGUGGACGCGGCAGUCAUGCGACCCUGCAGAGGGGUGUAUGCAAACGUGACACUUAUCUUCAAGGUCAUGGGGGACAAUGGAUACAUAAUUAGCUUUCAUCUACGGCCUGGUAAAAGCACAAAUAAAGCGCAACACUGGUGG